rnacentral:snRNA from 1 species
GUGCUCACUUUGGAAGCAAAUAUACUAAAUUUGGGAAUAAUAUGGAAAAGAUCAGCAUCGCCCUUGCAGAAAGAUGAUAAAUAGAUUCGUGAAGGAAAAAAAUGGUGU